rnacentral:rRNA from 1 species
CCUACGGGUGACAGCAGUAGGGAAUAUUGCUCAAUGGGGGAAGCCCUGAAGCAGCAACGCCGCGUGGAGGAUGAAGGUUUUCGGGUUGUAAACUCCUUUUGUUAGAGAAGAUAAUGACGGUAUCUAACGAAUCAGCACCGGCUAACCCCGUGCCAGCAGCCGCGGUAAUACGGCGGGUGCAAGCGUUACUCGGAAUCACUGGGCGGAAAGAGCGCGUAGGCGGGAUAGCAAGUCAGAUGUGAAAUCCUAUGGCUUAACCAUAGAACUGCAUGUGAAACUGUUAUUCUAGAGUAUGGGAGAGGUAGGUGGAAUUCUUGGGGUAGGGGUAAAAUCCGUAGAGAUCAAGAGGAAUACUCAUUGCGAAGGCGACCUGCUAGAACAUAACUGACGCUGAUGCGCGAAAGCGUGGGGAGCAAACAGGAUUAGAUACCCUGGUAGUC